rnacentral:rRNA from 1 species
GAUUAACGCUAGCGGCAGGCCUAAUACAUGCAAGUCGAACGGCAGCGGGUCCAGCAAUGGAUGCCGGCGAGUGGCGCACGGGUGCGUAACACGUAUGCAAUCUACCCUUAACUGGGGGAUAGCCCCGAGAAAUCGGGAUUAAUACCCCAUAAUAUUAUGAAGUGGCAUCAUUUUAUAAUUAAAGUUCCGACGGUUUUGGAUGAGCAGGCGCGACAUUAGCUAGUUGGCGAGGUAACGGCUCACCAAGGCUGCGAUGUCUAGGGGUUCUGAGAGGAUUCACCCCCACACUGGUACUGAGACACGGACCAGACUCCUACGGGAGGCAGCAGUAAGGAAUAUUGGUCAAUGGACGCAAGUCUGAACCAGCCAUGCCGCGUGAAGGAAGACGGCCCUACGGGUUGUAAACUUCUUUUGUACGGGAAAAAACCACCGGUCGUGAAUCGGUGCUGAUGGUACCGUAAGAAUAAGCAUCGGCUAACUCCGUGCCAGCCGCCGCUGUAA